AUUGAACGCUAGCGGGAUGCUUUACACAUGCAAGUCGAACGGCAGCGCGGACUUCGGUCUGGCGGCGAGUGGCGAACGGGUGAGUAAUGUAUCGGAACGUGCCCAGUAGCGGGGGAUAACUACGCGAAAGCGUAGCUAAUACCGCAUACGCCCUACGGGGGAAAGCAGGGGAUCGUAAGACCUUGCACUAUUGGAGCGGCCGAUAUCGGAUUAGCUAGUUGGUGAGGUAACGGCUCACGAAGGCGACGAUCCGUAGCUGGUUUGAGAGGACGACCGGCCACACUGGGACGGAGACACGGCCCAGAGUCCUACGGGAGGCAGCAGUGGGGAAUUUUGGACAAUGGGGGCAAACCUGAUCCAGCCAUCCCGCGUGUGCGAUGAAGGCCUUCGGGUUGUAAAGCACUUUUGGCAGGAAAGAAACGUCGCGGGCUAAUACCCCGUGGAACUGACGGUACCUGCAGAAUAAGCACCGGCUAACUACGUG
rnacentral:rRNA from 1 species